AAGCUAGUAAGAACCCUGAAAGAUGAUCAGGUUGAUAGGUCAGAGGUGGAAGCGUGGCGACAUGUGGAGCUGACUGAUACUAAUCGUUCGAGGACUUAACCAU
rnacentral:rRNA from 1 species